GACGAACGCUGGCGGCGUGCCUAAGACAUGCAAGUCGAGCGGACACCUUCGGGUGUUAGCGGCGGACGGGUGAGUAACACGUGGAUAACCUACCUGCGACACCGGGAUAACAGGCCGAAAGGCCUGCUAAUACCGGGUAAGCUCACGGGAGCGCAUGCUCCUGGGAGAAGAGGCGCUGCAAGGCGCUGGUGGCAGAGGGGUCCGCGGCCCAUUAGCUAGUUGGAGGGGUAACGGCCCACCAAGGCGACGAUGGGUAGCCGGCCUGAGAGGGCGAACGGCCACACUGGGACUGAGACACGGCCCAGACUCCUACGGGAGGCAGCAGUCGGGAAUUUUGCGCAAUGGCCGAAAGGCUGACGCAGCAACGCCGCGUGAGUGAAGAAGGCCUUCGGGUUGUAAAGCUCUGUUGCCCGUGACGAACGGUGCGCUCAGGAAAUGGGGCGCAUUUGACGGUAGCGGGAGAGGAAGCCCCGGCUAACUACGUGCCAGCAGCCGCGGUAAUACGUAGGGGGCGAGCGUUGUCCGGAUUUAUUGGGCGUAAAGGGCGUGUAGGCGGUCUGUUAAGUCAGGGGUGAAACCCCGGGGCUCAACCCCGGGCCUGCCUCUGAAACUGGCGGACUUGAGUGCUCUAGAGGGCAGUGGAAUUCCCGGUGUAGCAGUGAGAUGCGUAGAGAUCGGGAGGAACACCAGUGGCGAAGGCGACUGCCUGGGGAGUAACUGACGCUGAGGCGCGAAAGCUGGGGGAGCAAACGGGAUUAGAUACCCCGGUAGUCCCAGCCGUAAACGAUGAGUGCUAGGUGUAGGGGGUAUCGACCCCCCCUGUGCCGGAGUUAACGCAAUAAGCACUCCGCCUGGGGAGUACGGCCGCAAGGUUG
rnacentral:rRNA from 1 species